rnacentral:rRNA from 1 species
CUCAGAUUGAACGCUGGCGGCAGGCCUAACACAUGCAAGUCGAACGGUAACAGGAAGCAGCUUGCUGCUUUGCUGACGAGUGGCGGACGGGUGAGUAAUGUCUGGGAAACUGCCUGAUGGAGGGGGAUAACUACUGGAAACGGUGGCUAAUACCGCAUAACGUCGCAAGACCAAAGAGGGGGACCUUCGGGCCUCUUGCCAUCAGAUGUGCCCAGAUGGGAUUAGCUAGUUGGUGAGGUAACGGCUCACCAAGGCGACGAUCCCUAGCUGGUCUGAGAGGAUGACCAGCCACACUGGAACUGAGACACGGUCCAGACUCCUACGGGAGGCAGCAGUGGGGAAUAUUGCACAAUGGGCGCAAGCCUGAUGCAGCCAUGCCGCGUGUAUGAAGAAGGCCUUCGGGUUGUAAAGUACUUUCAGCGGGGAGGAAGGUGUUGUGGUUAAUAACCACAGCAAUUGACGUUACCCGCAGAAGAAGCACCGGCUAACUCCGUGCCAGCAGCCGCGGUAAUACGGAGGGUGCAAGCGUUAAUCGGAAUUACUGGGCGUAAAGCGCACGCAGGCGGUCUGUCAAGUCGGAUGUGAAAUCCCCGGGCUCAACCUGGGAACUGCAUUCGAAACUGGCAGGCUUGAGUCUUGUAGAGGGGGGUAGAAUUCCAGGUGUAGCGGUGAAAUGCGUAGAGAUCUGGAGGAAUACCGGUGGCGAAGGCGGCCCCCUGGACAAAGACUGACGCUCAGGUGCGAAAGCGUGGGGAGCAAACAGGAUUAGAUACCCUGGUAGUCCACGCCGUAAACGAUGUCUACUUGGAGGUUGUGCCCUUGAGGCGUGGCUUCCGGAGCUAACGCGUUAAGUAGACCGCCUGGGGAGUACGGCCGCAAGGUUAAAACUCAAAUGAAUUGACGGGGGCCCGCACAAGCGGUGGAGCAUGUGGUUUAAUUCGAUGCAACGCGAAGAACCUUACCUGGUCUUGACAUCCACGGAAGUUUUCAGAGAUGAGAAUGUGCCUUCGGGAACCGUGAGACAGGUGCUGCAUGGCUGUCGUCAGCUCGUGUUGUGAAAUGUUGGGUUAAGUCCCGCAACGAGCGCAACCCUUAUCCUUUGUUGCCAGCGGUCCGGCCGGGAACUCAAAGGAGACUGCCAGUGAUAAACUGGAGGAAGGUGGGGAUGACGUCAAGUCAUCAUGGCCCUUACGACCAGGGCUACACACGUGCUACAAUGGCGCAUACAAAGAGAAGCGACCUCGCGAGAGCAAGCGGACCUCAUAAAGUGCGUCGUAGUCCGGAUUGGAGUCUGCAACUCGACUCCAUGAAGUCGGAAUCGCUAGUAAUCGUGGAUCAGAAUGCCACGGUGAAUACGUUCCCGGGCCUUGUACACACCGCCCGUCACACCAUGGGAGUGGGUUGCAAAAGAAGUAGGUAGCUUAACCUUCGGGAGGGCGCUUACCACUUUGUGAUUCAUGACUGGGGUGAAGUCGUAACAAGGUAACCGUAGGGGAACCUGC